rnacentral:lncRNA from 1 species
GGGGAGUGCCGGUCACGGUGAGGCAAGCACUCUGACGUGGAGAAAAGGACUGGGUGCCGGCAACACGAAAACAAAGGCGAGCGUCGAUAGCCGGCUUGGAGACUCGGCACGGCUGAGAAGGGGCUCGGCGAGCUCGAUGAAUGGACGAAGAGUGAGGGGACGCCGACGAGGUGACUCCACGGUGGGGCGAAGCACAGAUGCUGGGAGCCGGUGUUGAGCGUUGCUGCUCCGGCGAGCUGCUUAGUGGCUGGACGGCGUUGGAGAGAUGGGGGAAGAUGCCGACAUGGAGGAGACGAUUACAGGGAGAGUCCUCGCAACCUCGGCUGAGGAGCACGACGAGAGGGAGGAAGACGAGGGGCUGGAAACGAACGAGCAAACUGAGCGCGUGAUGGGAUAAGAAUGACGGAAAUGACUAGAAGCAAGGACAGCUUACGGAUCAGGUAGAAAGGAGAGGGCGGUGGAGAUAAAAAAAAUGGAACUCUUUUUUAUUCUACCCAAAAUCUGAACCACGCUUCAACCACUUGAGACAAAAAAUGCAGCAGCAGCCGAUUGAACCCACCCUGCUGACCCCCACGCAUUUGAUCUCAUCCACAACCGUGCAAAUGGAGCACAGCAGAGCGCAGAUUUUUUUUUUCCAGAAAUAUCUGCCAUCAACUUCGAUGCCGACUGAACACUCCACCCUUCUCCCCCCUUGAUCUCUCAAUUUGCAGUAAUAACAGAAAGGUUAUGCUGAAUAUAUAUGUUCUCCAAUCAACCCUCUAUCAAAUUGCUAUAGAAACCAUAGCCUUAUACUUCCUGGAUUCAACACCAAACAACCCAAAAAAUGGGUGAAAACACAGAACUCCAAUUCAGCUAACUGAAUAACAAACUAACCUCCCCAUCUGACAGCACGAAUUUUGACCCAAUUUUCUCCAAGGUUAGUGCAGCACUAAUCAAAGAUCUUCAAAGUCACUAUAGGGUUCUGGGACUCAAACUUCACAGUUCCAAAGUUACGGUGCCCAGAAAUCAACCAAAUUUUAUUAGCGCCUUUCUGCUGGUCUGAAUUUCGAGUUCAGAUCACCCCCUCCUCCUUUUCUGCUCGAGGCAGUUUGAGCCUCCCUUUUCUCCCAAACCAAUAUGGUGUCAAGCCAAACCUUCAUAAUAAAAUUUGUUCAUUGAUAUACGGUCUCCAACGUUACUACAAACUUCUUGGUCCAAUCACACAAGAAUCACAAGUUAUGAUACUCCGGAGUUGGUCACAAUUUACUGAAAUUCGUUUUUAGCUUUUGAAUCACAUUCAAUUCACAGCACCGAUUGGCAGUCAAUGUUCGAGGGCAUUUAACUUAGGUUUCUAUACAGUACCAGACCCAAACCUUCUCAAGAGAGUUGUUCACCUUUCUAUGGUUUACCAAUUCACUAUAGACACCAUGGUCCAACACUUUAUGGAUUAGCCACAAAAGAGCUCUGAAGUUCAGCAAAUUGCACUGAAAUUCAGUUUUCAUUGGACUGAGUGAAAUCCAGUUUGUGUGACUGACAGUCCCACUUUGGGCAGUAUUUACACCACUUUUUGUGUAGGGUCACGCCCAACACACUUUAAGGAACUUAUUCACUAACAUAUGGUCCUCAAACUUUCCACAAUAACUUCAGUCCAAAACCGUAUAGAUCAAGCACCACAAAGCUCCAAAGUUUAAUCAGACACAUAUUUCAGACUUAGGCUACUGCACAACAGUCAAUACUCUUUUAUCUGACAGCACAACUUUGUGCAGUGUUUUCUCUCAUUUCUAAGCAGUUUCAAGGGUAUGUCCCUUACUAGAGAUUACUCCCCCAACAUUGGUCUCCAAGUUUGCUACAGAAACUACAGCCUAAAAACAAAGGUAUUGACCACCAAGGAGCUCCAAACUUAACACUUUUAUCUGAAAUUCAGGUCUCAAUCAGCCAUAGACUAAGUCUGAAAUAAAACCUGUCAGUUCCACUUUGAACCACUUUUUCUCCUAGUUCCAUGCGGAUUUAGGGCUAGUACACUUAAUACAAGUUGUUCUCCUACAAUUACUCAACAAGUUUGUUACAGUGACCAUUAACCAAAACCUCUUGGAUUCCAAACUACAAUAGCCCCAAAGUUUGCUCCAAUUGCUGAAAUUCAGAAUCUGAAUUUCACUAAGUCUGAAAUCCAUAUUUUCUAACAGCUCUUCUUUAGACCAGUUCUUCUCCAAAUCCCAUAUAGAUUUAAGGAUAGGUUACUUAAUCAAAGUCACACUCCUCACAUAGCUGUAUAACUUUGUUACAAUGACCAUCUUCCAAAUGUUUAUAGAUCAGAAGUUAUAAAGGACCAAAAUUGCCUAGUUGCUACUAUUUUCAGCAAUUCCAAUUUGAGCUCAAAACUGAACUCUUGUGAUUUACUCCAAUUUUCUCCACACAACAUGGGAAUCUCCAAAUAACAAAAUUGUGCAGCUUUGGAAAUCCUACCAACUUGGUAUUUUUACCUAUUGCAAAAUGUGGCUAGAUCUCCAAAUCCACUUUUGGGCUCCAGUUUAGGGGUUAGAGAUACUACUAAUUCACAUAUCAAAAGCAAACUUAUCCAUCCUCCUAAAGCAAAGUUGCUCCUUAAUCUCAAAUCCAACUUUGGCUUAUAGAACUCAGGUCCAAAGUAUCCUUGAUUUAGGAGUUGUUUGCUUACACUCAAUUCCAAUCAAGGUUUUCAAGCCUUAGGAUUUUGAAGUUAAUCCUUCGGUCCAAGUAUUUCUUCCACUUGAUCUAUCUUUGAAAACAAACUUUCUAUAGACUCUAGGAAUUGCCUUUAGCACUUCAAGACUCCAAGCCAAUUUGUUACUUGCUCAAAGGGAUGACCUACUCCUGUUUAGCUUAGGUCCUUAACUAGGUCCUCUACUCUGCACAUAGCAUCACCUUAUUGUAAAAUUAUUGAUCUAGUGAAUGCAUUCUAGGUGUAACAAGCAAGUUAAUGCAAAUGCUUAUGAUGACAUGUCAAAGUUUUAGUUCACGUAACACCAGGGGUGUUACAGUCUUCCCCUCUAAAAAGAAAUCUCGUCCCGAGAUUAAAACUCUAGGCUAGAUAAUGGAAAAGGAAACGCUUCACCAGUUUCUUUCCCCAUUACUCCUAUAAGGCAAGGGUGUGUCCCUAUUGGUUUAUAUCAGAAAUAAACUACACAAACCUUAGGUUUACAGGGCACUAGAAACUCAGGAACACGCUUUUCUAAAUACUCCUCCAAUUCCUAUGUAGUUUCAUCUUCAUUGGGUUGGUUCCACUGUAGCUUGUAAAAUUUGAUAACUUUUCUUCAAGUGACCGAUCCUUUUGAUCCAAAACCUUUAUGGAAUAUUCCAAGUAGGUUAAAUCUGGUCCACGGUUAACAUCUAAAAUCUCAAUAACAUGCUUGGGGGCUCGAAGACAUUUCUUUAACGGAGACACGUGGAACAUGUUGUGCACUAUUGGAAGAUCUUCUGACAAAUGUUCCUUAUAAGCCACAGGUUCACCAAAACCUUUGUUUCGAAUGUUGGCAGUCUUCGUGAACAGGAAAAAGGUAGCAUAGAAAGGCAAAGACAGAUAGCAGGAAUAGGGUGGACGAAACAUGUACUAAUACUGCUACAUAGGGGGCUUAAUUUAAAAUUGUAUGUCAUGAUGCAUGCUCGUCCUAUUCGUCCUCACAACUCUUGCCAACAUAUAGUGGCUUUCACGUUCUAUGGCGGUGGCAUACCUACUCACUCGUUAUUUAUCACUAGUCGCACUUUCCUAGGGUUUAGUUAGUGUACCUGCAAAAAAUUGCAUUAUAGUUGUGGGUUAGUGGUUAGCAUCCUAAACUAAGCCACCUUAUAGUUCUUAACUUAACUAUAUACUAUUUGCACUUCGACUAUCAGGAUUUGAUCAUAUUCUUAUGUUUUUCCAAAAUAGUUUGGACUCAAAAUCCUUUUGAACUUUAUCAAAGGAUUACUUUAAUAUCCAUGAUAAUGGGGGAUCGCUCCGAUACCACGCUGUGACAGCCCUCCCAAGUUAUCAGGCCCACAUGCACCAAUCCUUGCCUUAAUGACCUCAGAUGGCUGUGCACGUGUACCGGGUAACUUAACAAGGCUAUCGAGUUCGCCAACUGGAACUCAUCAUCCCAAGGAUCUCCCACAUAACAGGUAUAUUACAGUAAUCACAUUUGAUACACACACAUUGGAGAUAGAGCGGAAGACUUUUACAAAGUACACUUUACAUUCCAGAACUCAAGUUUUACAUGGUAGAAAGAGAUGUAUUUAUUACAAGUCCUGAUAGUACUCGAUGUGCAUAACUUAUUACAAUAAUUGGAAGGGUGAAGCCUUUCCAUAAGAGAUAAAAACAUUCUAAGCUUCAAGGCCUCCACAUGAAGUAACUAACCAAAAGAUAAGGGAAUAGAACUUCUCCUGCAAAAACAACAGGGGAUAAAACCCUGAGUACGCAAUUACUCAGCAAGACUUACCCGACUAAAGAAAAGACUCUCAAGGGUAUGCUAGCUGAUUGGGAGUCAAGGUAAAGUUUAUCAAUGAUCAAAGACUCCUUUUUUGCAGAAAAGCUUGCUACCAGUUGAUCCUUAAGCCAAGUUUUAUUUCACUAGUUAGGUUAUUACCUGAAUCUAUAUUUGCCUGAUCUAGUUCAAGCACUUGGCCUAUACUAGCUCCAUUUUAUUCAUUCUCAUAUUUCACUUGCUAACUACGAUGAUGGUCACCGGGAUGAGUCUCCAUAACCGAGGAGCAACGACGAUUCGAACCGAUUAUACCCAGCUGGGGAUCUCUAACCACACGACAUAUGUAGCACUUAACCCUUGCAUAUGUCAACCGUUCCCACGGAGUCCUCCACUACAUGAACAGGUCCGCGCCACCCGAGAGCACAUUACCCUACCAAGCGUGCUACUAUGCCAGGAGGGUACAUGCUACUCCCGCCAUCUCUCCACUCCCAGUGCGCGAUUGUCUCUUCACGUAUGGAAUAGCCGGGUUCAAGCUUACCCUGUCCCAUACCAGGGUAUGUGGCUAGUUGCAAAGUCUCAACCACAACAGGCCAGUCAACGGUACGGUCCUUAAUCGACACAGACGGGCGACUCUGUCUGCUCAGCGCCUGGUCUAGAUUUAUUAACCAUUUCCCCAUUUUUGGUACCCGGCAGGGGUACUCUUUUCCAAUGAUGAGCCCACUCCGGCCGAAGUGGAGUCAUCACCUUAGUUUGCUUUGAUUUUUGAAUCAAAAAGCCGAUAACCAAUGUUCCACAAUCAUUCUUUUUGAAAACAAAUGAUUUUUCAGUUUCUAAGCAGGGUUAAGCAUUAUCAGUUCUUUUUAUAAAUCAGGGAUCAAGGUAUAGUAUUCAAAUUCCAAGGAAUGGUAAUGCAUCAAUUGUUCAUCACACAACUCCUAUUACCUAAUGCAGCAUAUAAGUGAUAAAAUUUUGUAAUACAAGGAAGGUGGCAAAUGCACCGGGGCUUGCCUUAUUGCAGGAGAAGAUCCCAAAAUCCUUCUACCCAACCUUUAGUUAGAUAGCUCCAUCCACUUGAUGAGCAGGCAUUGGAGUAGACUCCUUCAAACACCACUUCUUCUAGAUGUUCUACAAGUCAAUUACAAAUACAUGUAUGCUUAUGUUAUGAUAUGAAAUGCAAACUCUCAUAAGGAGAGGUGGGGAACAUAAACACUCCUAAAUAAGUACAUGACAAGUAUACACAUACUUCUACACAACCUAGCAUUCAAUAAAAGUGACCAAUUGAAUUCACUUAGAUAAACUAGGGAACUAAUCCAACUUAUAUCUCAUCCAAAGCUUAAAACUUCUUAAACAAGUCCCUCACUUCACUAAACUACUAGGUGUCCUCAUUUCAUAGGUGAAAUCCUUUUCUUUUUGGGCAAUAAUUAGUUUGCUAACUAAAUCAUAUCCAAAUAGUUCCAAACUUUGCCCAAGGGUUCAUCUUCUAAUAACAAGCUUCUCCAAACAAUUUCAUGAUUUUUGGUGCUCAACUCUUAUUUCUAAAAUUCCAAUAGUCCUUCCAAGAGCACCUUUAAUUCACUUAAUAUUUUAUAACUGCCUUAAAAUCCUAAAUCUAACUUUACCAGAGAGCUCAUGAAUCUAGACAUCCAACAAAAUUUGUCUUGCUAUUUUUGGAUUUCUCUACAAUUUUUGGCACCCUUUCAAAGCUCUCAGACAAAUAAUAAAGGGAAACGAUUUAAGCCUAGGCUGACUCCGGCCCACACGACCCACUACCAGGCCAAAGUCGGCCUGCGGCCAGGAGCCCGCGCGUCCACACACCCGACUUUGCACGGAGGCCCUUGGCUUAUUGAGAACUCAAUCAAGACCCAGGGCCACUAUUUCUCUGUCUCUCUGACAAUACACCGAGAUCCCUGACUUUAUCCUCCUUCACAUAGUCACCCCCUCAAAGGGACUCCGAUCGAACACCUGUGUCCGGUCGAGGAAACUCGUCGCCGACAACCUUCCCCGGCGAUAGCAAGUGCUCGAGCGUCACCACUUAGCUAAUGCGACAUAAACCCAUACACUAAUUUGCCCAUUACACCAUAGGGAUAUCAUGACCACGGUGCUGGCGGAAAUCGGGACUCCGGUGAGCCUGUUCCUAACAACAUAGCAUGGUAGCGCCCGAUUAAUUAGUUUGAGAAGGAUCGGUAACUCACCACCGCUACGGUGCUCGCGCAAACUCAAUCAAAGAACACUCGAAUUGGCCGGUCCACAAGGCGAUGGGUUCGAAGCGGCGUUCACUGACGGCGACAUGAUGUUCCCAAGGAUCUGUUACGGUAGAGUUCAAUCGAGCAGGAUGGUAAGCAUCAACAUAUGUCAGGAAAUUCAGAACACACCAAGUCUUGGCUGCGAUUACCUCGGGGAGUGCCGGUCACGGUGAGGCAAGCACUCUGACGUGGAGAAAAGGACUGGGUGCCGGCAACACGAAAACAAAGGCGAGCGUCGAUAGCCGGCUUGGAGACUCGGCACGGCUGAGCAGGGGCUCGGCGAGCUCGAUGAAUGGACGAAGAGUGAGGGGACGCCGACGAGGUGACUCCACGGUGGGGCGAAGCACAGAUGCUGGGAGCCGGUGUUGAGCGUUGCUGCUCCGGCGAGCUGCUUAGUGGCUGGACGGCGUUGGAGAGAUGGGGGAAGAUGCCGACAUGGAGGAGACGAUUACAGGGAGAGUCCUCGCAACCUCGGCUGAGGAGCACGACGAGAGGGAGGAAGACGAGGGGCUGGAAACGAACGAGCAAACUGAGCGCGUGACGGGAUAAGAAUGACGGAAAUGACUAGAAGCAAG